rnacentral:lncRNA from 1 species
AAUGAUGGGAAGAAAAAUGGUCAAAUGGUGGACCACUUUUUGUCUUCGCAUAUGUACUUUGCAGGUUGAUUGAUCACUUAAAGCAUUGCACGACAAGUCAGUUUCUCUAUUCUGGAUUGAAGAAGGACCGGGGCUGAUUGAAAUAAGAUGGAACUGGUGAAGGACUGUGGCUGAUUGCAGUCAGAUUCUUAUUUAGAGACUGAUUUAAGAACUUCAAAUACGGAAACUCCAAAUUAUUAACUUUUUCUCCUACAAAAUUGUUACUUCUGAGGUCUAAGUAUU